rnacentral:tRNA from 7 species
GGGAAGCAAUCUAAUCUGGUGAAAACAUUGGACUGAAAAUCCAAAGAGGCAGGGUCGGAACCUGCGCUUCCCA